rnacentral:rRNA from 1 species
AGUGAUGCUGGCGGCGUGGUUAAGACCUGCAAGUCGAGCGGGAUUUAUUUUCAUAAUUCUUCGGAAAAGUGAGGGUGAUGAGAGAAGCAAACGGGUGCGUAAUACGUGAAUAACUUGCUCUUUCGUUUGGGAUAGCUCGUUGAAAGGCGAGUUAAUACCGAAUGUGGUUUCGUUCUGCAUGGAACGGAUACUAAAGUUUGUAAUGGCGCUAGAGGAGAGGUUCACGGCAUAUCAGCCUGUUGGCGAGGUAAUGGCUCACCAAGGCGAAGACGGGGAGCUGGUCUGAGAGGAUGAUCAGCCACACUGGAACUGAGACACGGUCCAGACACUUACGGAUGGCAGCAGUUUCGAAUCAUUCACAAUGGUCGCAAGCUGCUGUCAUACGGAGACUGCAAGCGUUACUAGGAAUUACUGGGGGUAAAGGGUGCGCAGGCGGCUAGGCGUGUCAGAUGUGAAAUCUCGAAGCUUAACUUCGGGGCUGCGUUUGAAACUCCCUGGCAAGACUUUUGGAGAGGCAGGCGGAAUUUCUGGUGUAUCGGUGGAAUGCGUAGAUAUCAGAAGGAACACCAAUGGCGAAGGUAGCUUGCUGGACAAAUACUGACGCUUAUGCAGGAAAGCGUGGGUAGCAAAAUAGAUUAGAUACACUUGUAGUCCACGCCGUAAAAUUUGUCGACUCGAUUUUGGGACAUUCCACCGUUUCAGAGUCUAAGCUAAAGCGCUAAGUGUACCGCCUGAGGACUACGGUCGCAAGAUUAAAACUCAAAGGAAUUGACGGGCCCGCACAAGCGGUGGAGCAUUUGGCUUAAUUCGAUGUUAUGCGAAAGACCUUACCUAGGCUUGACAUACACUGGACAGUUUGCGAAAGCAAAUCAUCCUUCGGGACCGGUGAACAGGUGCUGCAUGGCUGUCGUCAGCUACGGCGCCGUGAAUACGUUCUCGGGCAUUGUACACACCGCCCAUCACGUCCUGAAAACCGGUUUUACCAGAAGCACAUGAGCUAACCUUCACAGGGGGCAGUAUUCUAAGAUGGCGUUGGUGAUUGGGAC